rnacentral:misc_RNA from 1 species
GAAAUGCGAUAAGUAGUGUGAAUUGCAGAAUUCAGUGAAUCAUCGAAUCUUUGAACGCACAUUGCGCCCCUUGGUAUUCCAUGGGGCAUGCCUGUUCGAGCGUCAUUUGUACCCUCAAGCUCUGCUUGGUGUUGGGUGUUUGUCCCCGUCUCCGCGCGUGGACUCGCCCCAAAGUGAUUGGCAGCCGGCGUACUGGUCCCGGAGCGCAGCACAUGUCGCGCAAACGAGUGCCUUGGUACGGCGGCGUCCAUAAGCCCCUCUCUCACGCUCUUGACCUCGGAUCACGUAGGGAUACCCGCUGAACUUAAGC